rnacentral:sRNA from 1 species
GAGCCCUACGUGGGCGUUUCCUCCCUAAACUUGGGCCACCCUUUAUGGGUGGUCUUUUUUUU